AAUGCAGACCACCAAGACACUACUCAUUUCUCCAGUUCUGAUUCGCUCCUCUAUCCGGGGUCUAAUCAGGCCUGUGUCUGCCUCCCUCCUGAGUAGACCAGAGGCCCCAUCUAAACAGGCUUCCUUCAGAAGCUCCUCUCUCCAGGUGGCCAGAUGGGAAUCGCAGACCAGUGUCAUUUCCUGGGACAUAGACACAGCAGCCAAGUUUAUUGGUGCUGGGUCCGCCACAGUUGGUGUUGGGCCUGGCAUUGGCACAGUGUUUGGUAGCUAGAUAAUUGGCUAUGCUAGGAACCUAUCUCUCAAGCAGCAGCUCUUCUCUUAUGCCAUUCUGGGAUUUGCCCUGUCUGAGGCCAUGGGACUCUUCUGUUUGAUGAUCGCCUUCCUUAUCCUCUUCGCCAUGUGA
rnacentral:lncRNA from 1 species